CAAUAGCGUAUAUUAAAGUUGUUGCGGUUAAAAAGCUCGUAGUUGGAUCUCGGCAGGCAGGGGGUGGUUCGCUCUUAGCGCUACUGCCCCAUUUGCCUGUGUGAUUGGCGGAGGUUUCGGGGUGCUCUCCGUUGAGUGACCCGGGGCGCCGUCAGGUUUACUUUGAAAAAAUUAGAGUGCUCAAAGCAGGCUUUUCACGCUUGAAUAUUCGUGCAUGGAAUAAUGGAAUAGGAACUCGUUUCUAUUUUGUUGGUUUUCGGAAAUCGAGUUAAUGAUUAAUAGGGACAAUUGGGGGCAUUAGUAUUCAGACGACAGAGGUGAAAUUCUUGGACCGUCUGAAGACUAACUACUGCGAAAGCAUUUGCCAAGAGUGUUUUCAUUAA
rnacentral:rRNA from 1 species